rnacentral:rRNA from 1 species
UACGUAGGGUGCAAGCGUUGUCCGGAAUUAUUGGGCGUAAAGAGCUCGUAGGCGGUCUGUCGCGUCGGCUGUGAAAACCCGGGGCUCAACCCCGGGCCUGCAGUCGAUACGGGCAGACUAGAGUGCGGUAGGGGAGACUGGAAUUCCUGGUGUAGCGGUGAAAUGCGCAGAUAUCAGGAGGAACACCGGUGGCGAAGGCGGUCUGCUGGGCCAAGACUGACGCUGAGGCGCGACAGCGUGGGGAGCAAACAGG